rnacentral:tRNA from 1 species
GGAGAGGUGGCCGAGUGGCCGAAGGCGCGCCCCUGCUAAGGGCGUAUACCCUAAUCCGGUAUCGGGGGUUCGAAUCCCCCCCUCUCCGCCA